CAUUAUUGAGCAAAGACAACGGCACAAAGGGCAAGAAGGAUGAUCAGAAGUGGGUCUGGGUAAAUUGAAGUCUUCAGAAGAUCCUAAAAAGAUCCUAAAAAUUCCACACCACACUCUCGGGGUGAAAACCUGAGGAACCCACCUGGCACCAACCGGCAGUGUGACCUCUGCGGCCACAGAUAGUGCACGAGUGGGAACCCCUUCCAUUCUCCCUGCGCACCGCCCCUCCCAGCUCCAUGGGUAUUGGAGAAGGGAUGAGGGAGGAUGAAAGCACCAGACCCGAUCUGAACGUCCGCGAGUAGCCAGCAGGUUGUCCAGCCGGAUGGACAGGUCCACCAACUGCUCAAACGAGAGGGUGGUGUCUCUGCAGGCCAGCUCCCGACGGACAUCCUCGUGUAGACUGCAGCACUGUACACUUUACCUUCUCCACUAUGCAAUCUGGUUUCCAAGCUGGUCAUGGGUGCAACUCAGUCACGCUCAAGGUCCUAAACAAUAUCAUAACCACCAUAGAUAAAAGACAGUACUGUGCAGACGUUUUCAUCGACCUGGCCAAGGCUUUCGACUCUGUCUAUCACCACAUUGUUAUCGGCAGACUCAAGAGCCUUGGUUUCUCAAAUGACUGCCUGCAAUAAUCACUGAAGCUGGAGACUUAUAUCUCCCUCUCUGUCAGAACAGCUUACCGAUCACUGUACAAGUACACAACCAAUAUGUAAACAGCACACCCAACUACCUCAUCCCUAUAUUGUUAUUUAUCCUCUUGCACCCCAGUAUCUCUACUUGUACAUCACCAUCUGCACAUCUAUCACUCCAUUGUUAAUGCUAAAUUGUAAUUGUUUCACCACGAUGGCCUAUUUAUUGCCUUACCUCCCUAAUCUUCUACAUUUACAGACACUGUACAUAGAUUUUUCUAUUGUGUUAUUGACUGUACGUUUGUUUAUCCCAUGUGUAACUCUGCGUUGUUGUUUUUGUCGCACUGCUUCGCUUUUUCUUGGCCAGGUCGCAGUUGUAAAUGAGAUCGUAUUCCUGGUGAAAUAAAAAAUAUACAUAAA